rnacentral:misc_RNA from 1 species
AAUCAGCUUGCCGCUUAUAAAUUGAGUAUUGAACGAACUCGGUUGCACUUGAGAAAGGUGUAUUAUCGGCAACUUUUUGAUCUGUGAAACAGAAUUUUGUGUCGAAGAAUGGCCAACCCAAGGGAAUCCAUGUUGUUGACAGAAGAUAAGUUGGAAGAAUUAAGAAACGCCUUUCAGACGAUCGAUUUAGAUGGAAGUGGCCAUAUAACAGUAAUGGAACUAGGUGAUGCAUUGAAAGUUUGUGGUUUUACUUUACCUGGCCAUGAAAUUCGCGAUCUAAUACAAAGAUAUGAUACAAAUAUCAAAGACGGAAAAAUAGAUUUUAUGGAAUUUCAACAGGUAUAAUAUUUAAACUAGUUUCUAUUAAUGCUUUUAUAUAUUUAUAUGUCGGGGCAAAUUCAAUUCUUUAUCAAGAUUAAACUUUCUAAAUAUUCAUAAGAUUAAAUUUGUAAUUUAAGUCUUAUCAGAGAACUACGUCUCAAUUUUAACUGUUCCAUAAUACGAGAGAAAAAUUUUGAUAAAGUACUGAAUUUUGGCAAACUACAGGCAUAAGCUUAUUUCUCUUUUUACUUUCUAUUAUUUAAUAUUUUAGUAUAUUAUAUGCUACCUUUCAUAAACAAGGAAGUAACAUUAUGGAGCCGCAACUGAAAGUAGAAAGUGAAUAGAAUUAGAAAAUUAUUAUAAAAAGAUUAUAAACAUAAAAAACAUUAUAAACUCUCGUUUCAUCUUUAAAAAUUAUAACAAAAAUAAGAUGGAUUCAGGUAGAUUUGUUUUAAAAAAAAAUCCCCUCCUCCUUUAAAAAAAAAAUAUAUCCAAUAUUUUUAAUGCUCUAUUGUUACCCUUAAAAUGUGAAUAGUCGUUGAUUUCAACUACUAGUGUUUACUUGUGUGUGUGUUUGUGUUUGUUUGUCUUUCUUUUUUUUGUUUUGUAAUAUUUUCAACUAAAAAGAAAAAGAGUAAAAAAUAUCUUCUAAUAGCACGGACAAUUUGAUGUGUAUUUUAUUCCUUUAUUUACUGUCACAAAUAGAGAUAGUUACGGAAGUAAUUGUAUUUUUUGCCCCCUUUUCACUUUUCUCCUUUUUUAUUUGUUUAUUUAUUUCAAAACAAAAUGAUAUCGAUUGAACUCUUUAGGUUUGUAUUUUAGUCUAAUACAAAAGUAUAAAAUUGAACUAAUGAAUGUUUAAUUUUAGAAUGAGAUUUCUUUUACUAUAUAUAUUUAUAUUUAUACGCGUAAAUACCUUAUAAAUAUUUGCUUUUUGAUAUGACAGCUAUAUGGUGAUGUUAAAGCCAAGUACGAUAUUGGCCACACCUACAAGAAAAACGUUGCUAAAGCUACUAACGUUGUCACCCAUGGAGGUACGUCAAUGGCAUCAUCGGUGGGAACCACUCAUACUGUGAAAAUAGAAGAACAAAUGGCCUUUUCCAAAUGGAUCAAUAGCAACCUAGCUUCUGAUGGCGAUUGUCGAAAUAUAUUACCGUUGAAUGCCGAAGGAAAUGAUCUUUAUCAUAAGUGCAGUGAUGGGAUUUUAUUAUGCAAAUUAAUUAAUAAAGCUCAGCCAGGCACUAUUGAUGAAAGGGUAAUGAAUAAGGGAGCUAAAUUAUCGCUUUUCUCUAAAAUGGAAAAUUUAACAUUGGCUCUUAAAUCUGCACAAUCAAUUGGAUGCAACAUUGUGAAUAUUGGUUCGGAUGAUUUACAUAAGGGUGCUCCUCAUCUGGUUUUAGGCCUUUUAUGGCAAAUUAUCAGAAUUGGUUUAUUGGCUGAUAUCAAUUUACACGACAAUCCUGGACUUAUACAUUUAUUGAAUGAAGGUGAAACAAUCGAGGAAUUAAUGAGACUAUCACCAGAGGAAAUAUUAAUUCGAUGGGUUAAUUAUCAUUUGGCUAAUUCCGACGCUAACCGAGCAAAUGAGAAUGUCCGCAUAAACAACUUUGGAAGGGAUAUUGAAAAUUCUAUUGCCUAUUACUAUUUGAUUCAGCAAAUUGCACCAGCCGAUACCAGAAUUGAUAUUUCUGGUAAAUCAGAUGGAAAUUUAGAGCAUAGAGCGGAAAACAUGUUACAGCAAGCCGAGAGAAUCAAUUGUAGAGCUUUCGUUCGUCCCUUGGACGUAGUAAAGGGAAACACAAAAUUGAAUAUGGCUUUUGUUGCAAAUUUAUUCAACAAUCAUCCAGCCCUGGAUAAGGUCACUGAUAACGACCUCCUCGAGCAAAUUGUCGACGAAACUAGGGAGGAGAAGAUGUAUCGUAAUUGGAUGAAUUCCUUGGGCGUUCGUCCCUUUGUUAAUCAUCUUUAUUCCGAUUUGAAGGACGCUCUUGUAUAUUUUCAACUUUUUGAAAAGAUAAAGCCCGGUUCAGUCGACUAUAGUCGUAUUCCAAGUAAUUUCAGUAAGCUAAAACAAAAGAGAAUGAUUGAAGAACUACAAAAUUGUAAUUAUGCCGUCGAAUUGGGAAAGCAAUUUAGAUUUUCAUUAGUUGGAAUAGACGGUAGUAAUCUAGCUCACGCUUCCGAGCAUAAGAGCUAUGCUCUUUCUCUAAUUUGGCAACUAAUGAAAGCUUAUACGCUAAGCGUGUUAUCUAAAUUAAGUGGUACUGAUAAACCGCUGGCAGAGAGCGCUAUAGUUAGUUGGGCCAACCAAAAAUUAUCCAAAAAAGGCAAGACUUUCUCCGGUUUCGGUGACCAGAGAUUAAGCGACGGAGUUAUUGUUAUCGACGUGAUUGAUUCUAUCCAGUCAAACAUAGUCAACUACAGUCUAGUAAAGCAAGGUUCUGGUGAGGAGGAAAAAACAAGCAAUGCUAAAUUAGCUAUUUCUUGGGCAAGAAAAAUGGGUGCUGGCGUCUAUGCUCUACCGGAAGAUAUAGUAGAAGUUAAACAAAAGAUGGUUAUGACCAUAUUCGCAUGUCUAAUGGCUGCCGAAUUAGAGAAUGAACAGAAAAAAUCUACACAGUCUUAAAAACGAUCAUUUUUUUUUUAUCUGAUUUCAUCUUUUAUUUUUGUUUAUAUAUUUUUAUUUCUUAUAUUUUUCCGCUUUUUAAAAACUUUAAUAAUUAGUUACUUAAAUGGAAUAAUUAAGUAAGCAAGUUAAUAUGGCUGUUACAGCCACAAGUUGUACCUUUGAGAGAAAAUUUUACAUAAUCUAAAAUAUUUUUUCCACUAAUAAUCACGUACAGUUUGGAUUAUUACAACGUUCUUUCGUAUCUC